rnacentral:rRNA from 1 species
UGAAUACGAGACGCUAAGGCGUCGAAGUAGUGUAUGUCAUACUUCCAAGAAAAGCUUGCACUGUCAUAGAUAAAAAACGCCUGUACCAUAACCGACACAGGUGGGUAGGUAGAGUAUACUAAGGGGCGCGAGAUAACUCUCUCUAAGGAACUCGGCAAAAUAACUCCGUAACUUCGGGAGAAGGAGUGCCUUAUUCUUAAGGUUGCAAUAACAAGAUCCAAGCAACUGUUUAUCAAAAACACAGGUCUCCGCUAAGUCGUAAGACGAUGUAUGGGGGCUGACGCCUGCCCAGUGCCAGAAGGUUAAAGAAGCUGGUUAGCAUUUGCGAAGCUAGUAACUGAAGCCCUGGUGAACGGCGGCCGUAACAAUAACGGUCCUAAGGUAGCGAAAUUCCUUGUCGGGUAAGUUCCGACCCGCACGAAAGGCGUAAUGAUUUGGAUACUGUCUCGGAGAGGGGCUCGGUGAAAUAGACUUGUCUGUGAAAAUGCGGACUACCUGCACCAGGACAGAAAGACCCUAUGAAGCUUUACUGUAACUUGAAAUUGAAAUUGGACUUUAUUCGCGCAGUAUAGGUGGGAGGCGUUGAUUAUAAUCUUGCGGGAUUAUUGGAGCCAUUAGUGAGAUACCACUCUUGUAAUGUUAGAUUUCUAACUUUGAAUCAUUAUCUGGUCAAAGAACAGUUUCAGGCGGGCAGUUUGACUGGGGCGGUCGCCUCCCAAACGGUAACGGAGGCGUACAAAGGUUUCCUCUGAACGGUUAGAAAUCGUAUCUAGAGUGUAAAGGCAUAAGGAAGCUUGACUGUGAGACCUACAAGUCGAGCAGGGACGAAAGUCGGUCUUAGUGAUCUGACGGUACUGAGUGGAAAGGCCGUCACUCAACGGAUAAAAGUUACUCUAGGAUAACAGGCUGAUCUCCCCCAAGAGUUCACAUCGACGGGGAGGUUUCGCACCUCGAUGUCGGCUCAUCGCAUCCUGGGGCGGUAGUACGUCCCAAGGGUUGGGCUGUUCGCCCAUGAAAGCGGUACGCGAGCUGGGUUCAGAACGUCGUGAGACAGUUCGGUCCAUAUCCGGUGUAGGCGUUAGAAUAUUGAGAGGAGCCUUCUUUAGUACGAGAGGACCGAGAAGGACAUACCUCUGGUGUACGAGUUAUCGUGCCAACGGUAGACGUUGGGUAGCUAUGUAUGGAGUGGAUAACCGCUGAAAGCAUCUAAGUGGGAAGCCCACCUCAAGAUAAGUAUUCUC